AUUGAACGCUGGCGGCAGGCCUAACACAUGCAAGUCGAGCGAGCGGCGGACGGGUGAGUAGUGUAUGGAGAUCUGCCUGAUCGAGGCGGCUGACUACUGGAAACGGUGGCUACUACUGCAUACUGUCGGUUGAACCCACGUGGGAUUAGCUAGUCGGUGGGGUAAAGGCUCACCUAGGCGACGAUCCCUAGCUGGUCUGAGAGGAUGAUCAGCCACACUGGGACUGAGACACGGCCCAGACUCCUACGGGAGGCAGCAGUAGGGAAUAUUGCACAAUGGGCGCAAGCCUGAUGCAGCAAUGCCGCGUGUAUGAAGAAGGCCUUCGGGUUGUAAAGGUCUGUCAGCAGAGAGGCGGUACCCAACGAGGAAGCAACGGCUAACUCCGUGCCAGCAGCCGCGGUAAUAC
rnacentral:rRNA from 1 species